rnacentral:rRNA from 1 species
GACGAACGCUGGCGGCGUGCUUAACACAUGCAAGUCGAACGUAAAGGCCCUGCUUUUGUGGGGUGCUCGAGUGGCGAACGGGUGAGUAACACGUGAGUAACCUGCCCUUGACUUUGGGAUAACUUCAGGAAACUGGGGCUAAUACCGGAUAGGAGCUCCUGCUGCAUGGUGGGGGUUGGAAAGUUUCGGCGGUUGGGGAUGGACUCGCGGCUUAUCAGCUUGUUGGUGGGGCAGUGGCUUACCAAGGCUUUGACGGGUAGCCGGCCUGAGAGGGUGACCGGCCACAUUGGGACUGAGAUACGGCCCAGACUCCUACGGGAGGCAGCAGUGGGGAAUAUUGCACAAUGGGCGGAAGCCUGAUGCAGCAACGCCGCGUGCGGGAUGACGGCCUUCGGGUUGUAAACCGCUUUCGCCUGUGACGAAGCGUGAGUGACGGUAAUGGGUAAAGAAGCACCGGCUAACUACGUG